rnacentral:rRNA from 1 species
GAUGAACGCUGGCGGCGUGCCUAAUACAUGCAAGUCGAGCGAACAGACGCGAGUGCUUGCGCUCUCUGACGUUACCGGCGGAUGGGUGAGUCACACGUGGGUAACCUACCUAUUAGACUGGGAUACCUUCGGGAAACCGGAGUUCAUACUGGAUACUCCUUAGCUUCGCAUGAAGCUAUAGUGAUUGACGGUUUUGCUGUCACUUCUCGAUGGACCCGCGGUGUAUUAGCUUGUUGGCGUGGUAACGGUUUACCAAGGCAGCGAGACAUAGCCGACCGCAGAGGGUGAUAGGCCGCACGAGGACGUGAACAGGGCCCAGACGACUGCGGGAGGGAGCAGAAGGGAAUCGGCCGCAAUGGACGAAAAUCUAACAGAGCAAUGCGGCGUGUGUGAAGAAGGUUUUGGGAGCGGAAUACUCUGUUGUGAGGUAAGAACAAGUACGUUAGUAACUGAACGUACCGUGACGGUACCGUACCAAAAAGCCACGGCUAACUACGUG